CUAACCUCCUACGCACAUUUGAACUCAAAGAGCCAUUUUAUUUGUAUGAUAUAGCCAGCAGCUUUAUCACCCUGCAGCUCACAGCUGGCAACCCCUUGAUCCUUGACAGGUGUGAGCCUGGCCAAUACCAGGCUGGGAGACCUGGGAAAGCUAUGAAUGCUGUUAGAAGAGAUGUUAGUGGGGCCAGUAGGGGGCGCUCACCUGCCUGCCUUUACCAAUUAGGGCCCCCUAAUAAUCCCCAUCUAUGAACUGGCUUCAUCGACCUGUUCUCCUCCCCACUGGUAGCUGGUGUGUGGGGAGUGUACUGGCACACUAUGGCUGCUGUCACAUCAUGCAGGUGGGGCUGCACACUGGUGGUGGUGGAGGGGAGUCCCCAUUACCCGUAAAGUGCUUUGAGUGGAGUGUUCAGAAAAGUGCUAUAUAAGUGUAGGGAUUAUUAUUAUGAAUAUAUACAAAUUCUAAACAGUUUGCUCAGUAUGUUGGCAGUAUGGGAAAUUAAGAGCAGUGAUUUCAGUGUUCUGUGUUCUAGGCAGGUGACAUUCAGGCUGUCUUCCCCUGAGCUCCACGAAGACGAGGACACGCCCUCGACCAUUCCCAGUACCAUGUCAGCGAAUCACAGAGCAUGGAGGAAAGACACACCCCUCCCCUCAACCAAUGAGGGGGACUGGGGGAGUGACGAGUCCCAGUCUUUGGCCAGUCAGGGAGGUCGGAGGAAGGGCACGUCCCUGUGUUUUGAUCAUCAGAGACCUGCUCCUGGCACUGGGGGCAAGCUGGGGGGCUCCACCCCCACCACUGCGCACCUGGCCUCGUCCCUCUCUCCCUUCUCCCCCUGCCCGUCUCCAGAGGCGGCCCUGCCAGGGAGAGCCAGUCCCGUGGGAGGGGGGGCGGCGCGGCACGCCCCGGGGGGUCUGGCUGAGGAGCUGAGCCAGAGUCUGCAGGCCGGGCUGGAGAACAGCGCCACUGCGCCGGUGGCCGUGAACGGAACGCGACACAUCAUGGACAUGGAGUCCGUGCGCUCGCACCUGCGCGCCAUCCUCGGGACGUCCGGCGAUCCGUCUUCUCGUGAGUAUCUCUGUGUCGCAGUGCUAGCGAUCGCGAGCCAUUGGGCAGGCGGUCAGCGCCGGGUCCCUGAGGAUCAGUACCUUCCUUGAGGUCAGACAGGGCAUGCAGGGCAACGCAGCCCCUCCUGGGUGCCAGGCCUGCUCCUGAACCACCCCGGCCCGGUCCCAGCUCU
rnacentral:lncRNA from 1 species